rnacentral:rRNA from 1 species
AUUGAACGCUGGCGGCAUGCCUUACACAUGCAAGUCGAACGGUAACAGGUCCUCGGAUGCUGACGAGUGGCGAACGGGUGAGUAAUACAUCGGAACGUGCCUAGUAGUGGGGGAUAACUACUCGAAAGAGUGGCUAAUACCGCAUGAGAUCUACGGAUGAAAGCAGGGGAUCGCAAGACCUUGUGCUACUAGAGCGGCCGAUGGCAGAUUAGGUAGUUGGUGGGAUAAAAGCUUACCAAGCCGACGAUCUGUAGCUGGUCUGAGAGGACGAUCAGCCACACUGGGACUGAGACACGGCCCAGACUCCUACGGGAGGCAGCAGUGGGGAAUUUUGGACAAUGGGCGAAAACCUGAUCCAGCAAUGCCGCGUGCAGGAUGAAGGCCUUCGGGUUGUAAACUGCUUUUGUACGGAACGAAAAGCCCCGGGUUAAUACCCUGGGGUCAUGACGGUACCGUAAGAAUAGGCACCGGCUAACUACGUGCCAGCCGCCGCCGUAA